UACGUAGGGGGCUAGCGUUGUCCGGAUUUAUUGGGCGUAAAGAGCGUGUAGGCGGUCAUGCAAGUCGGGUGUGAAAGCCCGGGGCUCAACCCCGGAAGUGCAUUCGAUACUGCGUGGCUAGAGUACUGGAGAGGAUGGUGGAACUCUCGGUGUAGAGGUGAAAUUCGUAGAUAUCGAGAAGAACACCGGUGGCGAAGGCGGCCAUCUGGACAGAUACUGACGCUGAGACGCGAAAGCGUGGGGAGCAAACAGG
rnacentral:rRNA from 1 species